GUUCCUCUCAUCUUCUCUAUUCUUACUCUACUCAACUAACAGAAAUGGUGACCACCAUGCCUAAAAUCCCUUCGAUUGAGAGCCACGAACGCUCGGCCAAGUUAUAGGCGAAACGGUUGAAGAGAGACAACUGGGUGUUGCAAACUGUUAUAUUUAUUUUAGUCCUGCAAUCCACUUUGAAUCUUGUAUUGGACCCUGGACAAAAACGAGCAUCUACAGAUUUUUUUCUCUUUAACUUUUUUAUGUGUAGUUUUUAAAGAUGCAAAGAAGCCUUGGAUAUUGUGAACGAGAAGACAAAGACAGAGACCCAUCAUGGUGCACAACAAUGGCAUCCAAGAGCGGUUUUGCAAGCCAAUACUAGUGGAAAAGCAUGCACUUGAACAUUCAUAUACGCCAACAGACAUGACAUGGUAACCAUUUCCAAACAGGAUAUGAUGUCUGACUUUUCCAUAACAGAAAUGUCAUCAAGUCAACAGAGCACGGAGGUCAAUAUGUCAACCACUAGAAGUAGGGAUGGAAGAUGGUGGGUGGGGUAGUGGAUAUGUAGAUGCAAAUAGAUAAUUUGUCUAUUUUACCGUAUUAAAUAUUCAUAUUGUGCCCAUUAUCUCCUUCAUCUAAGACACGUAAUUUGCAGAAUCAAAAAUAGAACAGGAAAGAGAGUGAGGGCAAAAUAUUCCAUAUUUUUUGGUGAUAUCAUCUCACUUUCUAAUUCGGUGAUGAGUUGAUGGAAAGGGAUGUAAGUUAGGGGAAGAGUCUGGUUUGCAGCUUCGGGUAUUCCCAUUGUUGGCAUAUAUGACAAUACUGAUGGAGUUUGCAUGUUACGGGUUGGAAUUAAACUAGUGAAUAUCACUAUCCUGCGGCUCAACGGUUCCUCCUCUCCCUCCCUAAUGGUAAUACAGACAAAGUUGCAUGACAGGGUUGCAAUGUGACUGCAUUUCAAAAUGUAAAGCCUGUUUUUGCUCAGGAUGUAUGUUUUGUACUUCUUUCCGUUACUGAAACACCGAUGACAUGUAAAACGCAAUAAAAUGA